AACAUGUYUUAAAGAAAUUAAUUUUAAGUYUAAUYUGCUCCAUGAUUAAAUUAAAUAGCUGCAGAAUUUUAACUGUACAAAGGUAGCAUAAUCAAUAGUUUUUUAAUUAAAAGCUGGAAUGAACGAUUUAAUAAGGUAAAUAUUGUCUCAUUUUUAAUAAAAAUAUAAUUUUUUUUUUAGUUAAAAAACUAAAUUAAUUUUAAAAGACGAGAAGACCCUAUAGAUUUUUAUAUUUAAAUUUAAAAUAAAUUUAAAUUAUUUUAUAAAAUUUUUAUUAUAAGUAUUAAGUUGGGGUAAUUAUUAAAUUAAAAUAAUUUUAAUAAAAUUUAAACUUAAAUUAAAGAAAUUUUGAUCUUAAAUUUUAAAUUAAAAGAAUAAAUUACCUUAGGGAUAACAGCGUAAUUUUUUUGGAGAGAUCUAAUUGAUAAAAAAGUUUGCGACCUCGAUGUUGAAUUAAGAAAAAAUAUUAAUGGAGAAGUUAAUAAUUUUUAGUCUGUUCGACUAUUAAAAUCUUACGUGAUC
rnacentral:rRNA from 1 species